GAUGAAGAACGCAGCGAAAUGCGAUAAGUAAUGUGAAUUGCAGAAUUCAGUGAAUCAUCGAAUCUUUGAACGCACAUUGCGCCCGCCAGUAUUCUGCCGGGCAUGCCUGUUCGAGCGUCAUUUCAACCAUCAAGCCCCAGCGCUUGUGUUGGGGGCCUGCGGCUGCCGCAGCCCCCCAAAAGCAGUGGCGGGCUCGCUAUCACACCGAGUGCAGUAGUUCAUCUUCUCUCCGGUCUUGUGAGGCGGGUUCCGGCCGUGAAACACCCCACUACAUUCAAGGUUGACCUCGGAUCAGGUAGGAAUACCCGCUGAACUUAAGCAUAUCAAUAAGCGGAGGA
rnacentral:misc_RNA from 1 species